GCUUCGCGAGACUCUCUCACUCUCCACUCUUACCGUCAUUCUCAUCUAUGCCAUUUCUUCAGUACUUCACCCAGAAAGAAAAACAAGAUACUACUAAUAAUAAAACCCUAAAUCCCCGAAUCCAAUUCAACAAAACCCUAAUUUACCCCUCCGAUUCUCGCAUCUUCAUGGUGUGAAGUGCGAACUCUGGCGUAUUCAAUUGCUCCCACAAUAAACGAUUUGAAGAAUGUCACAAAACGACCGCCCGGAGGCGCCGUCCCCGGCGACGGCCGCAAACGGCUCUACAGCGGCGAAGGAGGAGAAUCCAACUGCGAGGGCAUUGGUUUCUUCGAGCAAGGCUGAGGCUGAGGCUGAAUCUGAACAAGGAGCACAAAGCGGAGGAGUACGAAGACUUGCAAUUGAUGUAUUGCCCAGCGGUUUUCACCGCACUGGAGAGGUACCUUCUGCCAAACAUGCUCAAUGCUCGUCGCGAACACAAGAUUUCUCCAACUGAAAUUCGCGGUGCGCUUGGAUCUAAUCAACUUCUUCCGAGAAUUUAUAUCGCUUUUGUGUUGUUGGUCGGAAUUCUUCUGUUUAGUUCUCUUUUCGUGAACGUGUCUUGAAUCUGGUCACAUUUGGAAGCCCCUUCUUUCACUGAUUUCUCCAACUGAAAUUCGCGGUGCGCUUGGAUCUGUUAAUCAACUUUUAAUAUGUAUUGGGAUUCUUGCAGCAUUAGUAGCCGGCUUGCCUCUUGCAGGAAAUCCUAUAUGACAAUGUUUAGAAUUUUGGUUAUGCAUGACUUAACAGCAGCAGGUCAAGGUUCUUCUGAACCUGAAGCAAGAUGAUUUGAUCUUUUUAGUAGCCGGUAUCGGAAAGUUGUCAGUGUUAGAGCAGCACUUUUCUUGUUGUAGCAGUUUGCCGCAUCAAUGGAAGAUUUGGAACCCUUACGGCUGUUCCAACACACCAUAUGGUUAUGAAAAUUCAACUGCCUCUUGUCUUUGCAUUCUACAAAUUCCUUAUUCAAAUUGAUAUAGAGUGAGAAACAUAAAAGGAACAAUGAGAUUUGCUACAAGAAAGCGGGACUUAUCAUGCAGCAGUUUGAAGUGAUGUAUAUUUAGAAGCCUGUGUCGAGUUGAGCAGAAAUCGGUGAGAAGCUCCGUUUCAAUGUUCAAAGACUUUCCAGAUUUAGGAAGAAGAAUGCAAGAACAAAGGCAGCUGUUGCACGUAGCUUUUGCAAAGCGAUCUAUAUUUAUCAAUGUUCUGAAAACCGGACCGGACCGGCCGGUUCGACCGGUUUAACCGCGAACCGGCCAUACAGACGGUCCGGUCCUCCUGCAGAAACCGUCUUGGAAAAAACCGGCGACGAACCGGCGAACCGGCCAAAAACCGGCCGGUUGAACCGAACCGGUAACCGGCCGGUUCUGCAUAAACGACGGCGUUUCAUUAUUUAAGACAAAGUAACCCUUAACCCGACCCGAGGAUCACCCUGACCCGGUUACCCCAACCACCCCCCUUUCUUCCCCCGAAUCCCUAAUUCUGCGUGUUCUGUCUUCUACUCUUCUGUGUUGUUCAUCUUCGUGAGAGAAGAGAACAAAGAAUCAGAGAAUUUCUGAAGCUGACCCUCCACGCCCGAACCCCAGCCUGCCACCGCCCCCUCCUUCGUCGCCGCGGUCACCGGUCAACAGCCCAACCGUCGUCGCCUGGUCGUCAGCCCAAGUAACCCUCCUUCUGAAUGAGAGAAGACAGAAGCUGACCCUCCACGCCCGAACCCCAGCCUGCCACCGCCCCCUCCUUCGUCGCCGCGGUCACCGGUCAACAGCCCAACCGCCGUCGCCCUUCUUCGCCUGGUUCCCUGCCCAGUAGCCAGCCGUCUGAGUCGUCUUCAUCUGCCCCGUCUCAUCGUCUUCAUCGUCGCGCGUUAUGGAAGAUAGUAUUAAUCAAGAAGCAACUGCUGAUAACAAUGAUUCUGUGAAUAAUAACAUGAUCAGGGUGGGAAUGAAGGUGAAGAUCAUCCCACCGAAGCAGAUUUGCAACAAGUUCUUGCGGAUUUUGAUUGAUAAACCAUGAUGUUGGGAUUUAAUAUUUAGAUAUGCUUUUAUUACUAUUUAACUUUUGAGUUUGGAUUUUGAUAAGAUCAUAUGUAUUUGGUUGAUGAUAUUUUAUGUAGUGUUUUAAAUUUCGAAUAUAUUUUAAGAUUUAUAUCAGACUAUAAUUAUAUUUUAGGAUGUGUAUUUAUAAUUUAUUUAUUAUUCUACUCUAAACGGUUUUUCCGGUUGAACCAUCGGUUGAACCGGUUAGACCAGUGAACCAGUAAACCAGUAACUAGAGCGGUUUGAUGACCGGUCCGGUUUUCUGAACCUUGAUAUUUAUGACCAGGACAUACAUGUUCAUACGUUACGACCGUAAGGAUUCUAUACAGUACUUCAACACUUUUUAUCUUAAAUUUUUAUGAAAAUAGGAAUAAGUAUCUGCCCUUAAUUGCUUCUCCAUGAUUCAUUCUUAUUUUUCCAGCCCUGCAAUACCCUUUAGACUUGAAUAUGACCUAACUUUGGCAAUUUACAAUAUUUCUUUGGCUAUUUAUUUUUUAUGAUAAGAAUUGUAUGCUGUUCACUUUAAUCUCAAUUAUUGAUUUCUCUCUUCUCUUGUUUUGGUUCACAUUUCAGUUCAGUUCCUGUGCACUGUGUUGUUUUUUUCCUUAUUAAUCAAGGCAAUCAAGUUUAGGUAUCUAGCUUACUUUAAUUACAUAAAUUGGCUUAUUUUCUUAAUUUUUCUUUUUCGUUUCCUUGGACAUAAGUGAUAUUAAGUGACCUGGUAUUUGCUUGUGGAGGCAAAAGAAUAACUGAAAAUCUGCUGGAGGAGUUCUGGUAAAAAAGUUCACAAAUGUUCUAGAAACAAUUAUGUAUGAUCUAACGGAAGGAAGUUUAAGAGGGCUAAAGGAAGGAGGAGCAGCAAAGGACUUAGGAUUUAAGCUGUAUUGUUUUUGUAUUUUUUUUUUCAGUUUUUAGUUUUGGAAUUUGAACUUGAGAUUUAUUUUGUAUUGGAGUAUUAGUUUUUUAUUGUAUAAAAUAAUUAUAGCAAAAAUUAUAUAUGUCACUAAUUAUUGUUCGAUUUGUCUUGUA